rnacentral:lncRNA from 1 species
AGCACCCACAGUAGUACCAGCAGUGCCUCCUUGGCAAUGGGACAUAAGUCUGUGACACGCUGGGUCUUCAUGCUUAAUCACGUAAGGUGGACUGGGAUGAAGAAUUCCGGAAGUUCACAGGGAACCAAGCGUAGGUAGCACUGUUGCUUCUGAACCAACUGGAGAGCCUAAGACAAUGACAACUGGAGAGCCUAAGACAAUGACAAGACGGGCUCAAGUCCAAACCAGAGCUGCCGGGCUUCUCGAGGUCUCCCUUAUAGAACUGACCACUGUUCCCCCACUCCUGGGUACAAAGCUGGACUGCUGUCUCUGCCCUGCCAUGGAUUAAACAUGGGCAAACCACAAGACACAAGGUAUUGGUUUUUGGAUUUGAUUUAAU